AUGAGAAGUGUUUCGGAGCAUUAUAUUAUUGGGGAAGAGCCGCCGACUCAGGCAAGGCUUCCUGGGAGAGAAAGCCCUUUGAACCUUGUUGCAUAAUUAGGACUUAACCAGUGGACAGGCGGCUGAGAGUGAUUUCAGAAGAGGAGGCGGUAGGUCCAAAGGCGGGGGCAGGGGCGGGGGUGGUGCUCAGCUGGGCAGGCUCGGCCACCCACAUGAUUCAGUGGGACUCAGUGGAGGCGGGGGGAGAGGCUGGAUGGCCAUUGUUUUGGAUUCCUGCGGAAGACAAGAUGCUUCUAAAAGAUUCAGAGCAGCUGCUAAAUAGAUCUUCGAUAGGGCUGGGGUCUUCCUCUGCGUUCCAAACUCUCAAGAAGCCUACAGGUGUUCUUGUGCCCACCUGGAGCGGACAGGCCACGCCACAGAGAAACGCAGACCUCAUAUGCACAGACUGGAAGUCUCAUGCUCGCCCACCAGCAGACUGAGUCACAGAUGGGAGAGCAUCUUGGAACUCCCUGGGAGAGGGGACACAAAAGGUGGAAAGCCCGUUUUUGAGCAGAGACAGCACAUCACGAUGGUCACACACGUGGGUACUGAAGCCACACCGCCACCCUAGGCCCCUGGCUCUGCCACCCUCUAACUCCCCUGAUGUCGGGUAAGUCACUGAACCUCUCUGGGCCUCAGUUUCCUGGUUUGUAUGGUGGGCCUGAUAGUUACGGUCUCAGGGGUUGUGUGAAGAAUAAUC